ACAUUAGCAUGGAAUAAUAGAAUAGGACUUUGGUUCUAUUUUGUUGGUUUCUAGGACCGAAGUAAUGAUUAAUAGGGAUAGUUGGGGGCAUUAGUAUUUAAUUGUCAGAGGUGAAAUUCUUGGAUUUAUGAAAGACUAACUUCUGCGAAAGCAUUUGCCAAGGAUGUUUUCAUUAAUCAAGAACGAAAGCUAGGGGAUCGAAGACGAUCAGAUACCGUCGUAGUCUUAACCAUAAACUAUGCCGACUAGGGAUCGGACGCUGUUUUCAUGACUUGUUCGGCACCUUAUG
rnacentral:rRNA from 1 species